rnacentral:rRNA from 1 species
CGUGUAGGUGGUUUGUUAAGUAGGGCGUGAAAGCUCCUGGCUCAACUGGGAGAGGUCGUUCUAAACUAACAGACUAGAGGAUGGUAGAGGGAGGUGGAAUUCCGGGUGUAGCGGUGGAAUGCGCAGAUAUCCGGAGGAACACCAGUGGCGAAAGCGGCCUCCUGGACCAACCCUGACACUCAGACGCGAAAGCUAGGGUAGCAAACG